rnacentral:rRNA from 1 species
GGGUUGUGAGGUUAAGCGACUAAGCGUACACGGUGGAUGCCCUGGCAGUCAGAGGCGAUGAAGGACGUGCUAAUCUGCGAUAAGCGCCGGUAAGGUGAUAUGAACCGUUAUAACCGGCGAUUUCCGAAUGGGGAAACCCAGUGUGAUUCGUCACACUAUCAUUAACUGAAUCCAUAGGUUAAUGAGGCGAACCGGGGGAACUGAAACAUCUAAGUACCCCGAGGAAAAGAAAUCAACCGAGAUUCCCCCAGUAGCGGCGAGCGAACGGGGAGGAGCCCAGAGCCUGAAUCAGCAUGUGUGUUAGUGGAAGCGUCUGGAAAGGCGCGCGAUACAGGGUGACAGCCCCGUACACAAAAGCGCAUGUGCUGUGAGCUCGAUGAGUAGGGCGGGACACGUGGUAUCCUGUCUGAAUAUGGGGGGACCAUCCUCCAAGGCUAAAUACUCCUGACUGACCGAUAGUGAACCAGUACCGUGAGGGAAAGGCGAAAAGAACCCCGGCGAGGGGAGUGAAAAAGAACCUGAAACCGUGUACGUACAAGCAGUGGGAGCACAGGUUUACCUGUGUGACUGCGUACCUUUUGUAUAAUGGGUCAGCGACUUAUAUUCUGUAGCAAGGUUAACCGAAUAGGGGAGCCGGAGGGAAACCGAGUCUUAAUUGGGCGUUAAGUUGCAGGGUAUAGACCCGAAACCCGGUGAUCUAGCCAUGGGCAGGUUGAAGGUUGGGUAACACUAACUGGAGGACCGAACCGACUAAUGUUGAAAAAUUAGCGGAUGACCUGUGGCUGGGGGUGAAAGGCCAAUCAAACCGGGAGAUAGCUGGUUCUCCCCGAAAGCUAUUUAGGUAGCGCCUCGUGAAUUCAUCUCCGGGGGUAGAGCACUGUUUCGGCUAGGGGGCCAUCCCGGCUUACCAACCCGAUGCAAACUGCGAAUACCGGAGAAUGUUAUCACGGGAGACACACGGCGGGUGCUAACGUCCGUCGUGAAGAGGGAAACAACCCAGACCGCCAGCUAAGGUCCCAAAGUCAUGGUUAAGUGGGAAACGAUGUGGGAAGGCCCAGACAGCCAGGAUGUUGGCUUAGAAGCAGCCAUCAUUUAAAGAAAGCGUAAUAGCUCACUGGUCGAGUCGGCCUGCGCGGAAGAUGUAACGGGGCUAAACCAUGCACCGAAGCUGCGGCAGCGACACUGUGUGUUGUUGGGUAGGGGAGCGUUCUGUAAGCCUGUGAAGGUGGCCUGUGAGGGUUGCUGGAGGUAUCAGAAGUGCGAAUGCUGACAUAAGUAACGAUAAAGCGGGUGAAAAGCCCGCUCGCCGGAAGACCAAGGGUUCCUGUCCAACGUUAAUCGGGGCAGGGUGAGUCGACCCCUAAGGCGAGGCCGAAAGGCGUAGUCGAUGGGAAACAGGUUAAUAUUCCUGUACUUGGUGUUACUGCGAAGGGGGGACGGAGAAGGCUAUGUUGGCCGGGCGACGGUUGUCCCGGUUUAAGCGUGUAGGUGUGUGUUCCAGGUAAAUCCGGUUCACUUUAACACUGAGGCGUGACGACGAGGCACUACGGUGCUGAAGCAACAAAUGCCCUGCUUCCAGGAAAAGCCUCUAAGCAUCAGGUAACAUCAAAUCGUACCCCAAACCGACACAGGUGGUCAGGUAGAGAAUACCAAGGCGCUUGAGAGAACUCGGGUGAAGGAACUAGGCAAAAUGGUGCCGUAACUUCGGGAGAAGGCACGCUGACACGUAGGUGAAGUGAUUUACUCAUGGAGCUGAAGUCAGUCGAAGAUACCAGCUGGCUGCAACUGUUUAUUAAAAACACAGCACUGUGCAAACACGAAAGUGGACGUAUACGGUGUGACGCCUGCCCGGUGCCGGAAGGUUAAUUGAUGGGGUCAGCGCAAGCGAAGCUCCUGAUCGAAGCCCCGGUAAACGGCGGCCGUAACUAUAACGGUCCUAAGGUAGCGAAAUUCCUUGUCGGGUAAGUUCCGACCUGCACGAAUGGCGUAAUGAUGGCCAGGCUGUCUCCACCCGAGACUCAGUGAAAUUGAACUCGCUGUGAAGAUGCAGUGUACCCGCGGCAAGACGGAAAGACCCCGUGAACCUUUACUAUAGCUUGACACUGAACAUUGAGCCUUGAUGUGUAGGAUAGG